rnacentral:rRNA from 1 species
CUACGGGCGGCUGCAGUGGGGAAUAUUGGACAAUGGGGGAAACCCUGAUCCAGCAAUGCCGCGUGUGUGAAGAAGGCCUGCGGGUUGUAAAGCACUUUCGUUCGGGAGGACUGCUUCUAGCACUAAUAUUGUUGGAAGUUGACGUUACCUUCAGAAGAAGCACCGGCUAACUCCGUGCCAGCAGCCGCAGUAAUACGGAGGGUGCAAGCGUUAAUCGGAAUUACUGGGCGUAAAGCGCGCGUAGGCGGCUAGAUCAGUCGGGUGUGAAAGCCCCGGGCUUAACCUGGGAACUGCAUCCGAUACUGUCUAGCUUGAGUACAGGAGAGGAGAGUGGAAUUCCACAUGUAGCGGUGAAAUGCGUAGAUAUGUGGAGGAACACCAAUGGCGAAGGCAGCUCUCUGGCCUGAUACUGACGCUGAGGUGCGAAAGCGUGGGGAGCAAACAGGAUUAGAUACCCCAGUAGUC